rnacentral:rRNA from 1 species
CAGCAGCCGCGGGAAUACGUAGGUGGCAAGCGUUGUCCGGAAUUAUUGGGCGUAAAGCGCGCGCAGGCGGCCUAUCCAGUCUGUCUUAAAAGUUCGGGGCUCAACCCCGUGGUGGGACGGAAACUAGUAGGCUAGAGUAUCGGAGAGGAAAGCGGAACUCCUAGUGUAGCGGUGAAAUGCGUAGAUAUUAGGAAGAACACCAGUGGCGAAGGCGGCUUUCUGGACGAAAACUGACGCUGAGGCGCGAAAGCCAGGGGAGCGAACGGGAUUAGAUACCCCCGUAGUCCCUGUCUCUUAUACA